CCUACGGGAGGCAGCAGUGAGGAAUCUUCCACAAUGGGGGAAACCCUGAUGGAGCAACGCCGCGUGCAGGAUGAAGGCCUUCGGGUUGUAAACUGCUUUUAUAAGUGAAGAAUAUGACGGUAACUUAUGAAUAAGCACCGGCUAACUACGUGCCAGCAGCCGCGGUA
rnacentral:rRNA from 1 species